GCUCCUGUGGCAUAAUGGUAGUACAUUCCACUUCAUUAUGGAAAGGUUAAGGGUUCAAUUCCUUCCAGGGGCA